rnacentral:pre_miRNA from 1 species
AAGUUACUCCCUCCGUUUCAAAUUACCCGUCGUAGGUAUGGAUGUAUCUAGAUGCAUUUUAGUUUUAGAUACAUCCAUUUUUGUGACGAGUAAUUUGAAACGGAGGGCCCGUUGAAU